rnacentral:rRNA from 1 species
GACGAACGCUGGCGGCGUGCUUAACACAUGCAAGUCGAACGGUAAGGCUCCAGCUUGCUGGGGUACACGAGUGGCGAACGGGUGAGUAACACGUGGGUGACCUGCCCUGCACUUCGGGAUAAGCCUGGGAAACUGGGUCUAAUACCGGAUAGGACCGCACCGUGAGGGUGUGGUGGAAGGUUUUUUCGGUGUGGGAUGGGCCCGCGGCCUAUCAGCUUGUUGGUGGGGUAAUGGCCUACCAAGGCGGCGACGGGUAGCCGGCCUGAGAGGGUGGACGGCCACAUUGGGACUGAGACACGGCCCAGACUCCUACGGGAGGCAGCAGUGGGGAAUAUUGCACAAUGGGCGGAAGCCUGAUGCAGCGACGCCGCGUGGGGGAUGACGGCCUUCGGGUUGUAAACUCCUUUCACCAUCGACGAAGGGUUUCUGACGGUAGAUGGAGAAGAAGCACCGGCUAACUACGUGCCAGCAGCCGCGGUAAUACGUAGGGUGCGAGCGUUGUCCGGAAUUACUGGGCGUAAAGAGCUCGUAGGUGGUUUGUCGCGUCGUCUGUGAAAUUCCGGGGCUUAACUCCGGGCGUGCAGGCGAUACGGGCAUAACUUGAGUACUGUAGGGGAGACUGGAAUUCCUGGUGUAGCGGUGAAAUGCGCAGAUAUCAGGAGGAACACCGGUGGCGAAGGCGGGUCUCUGGGCAGUAACUGACGCUGAGGAGCGAAAGCAUGGGGAGCGAACAGGAUUAGAUACCCUGGUAGUCCAUGCCGUAAACGGUGGGCGCUAGGUGUGGGUUUCCUUCCACGGGAUCCGUGCCGUAGCUAACGCAUUAAGCGCCCCGCCUGGGGAGUACGGCCGCAAGGCUAAAACUCAAAGGAAUUGACGGGGACCCGCACAAGCGGUGGAGCAUGUGGUUUAAUUCGAAGCAACGCGAAGAACCUUACCAAAUCUUGACAUCCUCUGACCCCUCUAGAGAUAGAGUUUUCCCCUUCGGGGGACAGAGUGACAGGUGGUGCAUGGUUGUCGUCAGCUCGUGUCGUGAGAUGUUGGGUUAAGUCCCGCAACGAGCGCAACCCUUAAGCUUAGUUGCCAUCAUUAAGUUGGGCACUCUAAGUUGACUGCCGGUGACAAACCGGAGGAAGGUGGGGAUGACGUCAAAUCAUCAUGCCCCUUAUGAUUUGGGCUACACACGUGCUACAAUGGACAAUACAAAGGGUAGCGAAACCGCGAGGUCAAGCAAAUCCCAUAAAGUUGUUCUCAGUUCGGAUUGUAGUCUGCAACUCGACUAUAUGAAGCUGGAAUCGCUAGUAAUCGUAGAUCAGCAUGCUACGGUGAAUACGUUCCCGGGUCU